UUGUAUGUACUUGUAAUUUCCAAUAUCUAGUUUACUUUCAUCUGUUCAUCACUAUUCACCCAGUGUCACUUUUCCCCACUUGCCUCUGGGGGAGUGGCUACUGUUUCAGUUGUAGCCGCCUGGGGCCCAA